rnacentral:rRNA from 1 species
AUUGAACGCUGGCGGCAGGCUUAACACAUGCAAGUCGAGCGGAGUGAUGGUGCUUGCACCAUCACUUAGCGGCGAACGGGUGAGUAAUGCCUAGGAAUCUGCCCAUUAGCGGGGGACAACGUGUGGAAACGCACGCUAAUACCGCAUACGCCCUACGGGGGAAAGCAGGGGACUCUUUGAGCCUUGCACUAAUGGAUGAGCCUAGGUCAGAUUAGCUAGUUGGUGGGGUAAAGGCCUACCAAGGCGACGAUCUGUAGCGGGUCUGAGAGGAUGAUCCGCCACACUGGAACUGAGACACGGUCCAGACUCCUACGGGAGGCAGCAGUGGGGAAUAUUGGACAAUGGGCGCAAGCCUGAUCCAGCCAUGCCGCGUGUGUGAAGAAGGCCUUUUGGUUGUAAAGCACUUUAAGCGAGGAGGAGGCUUACCUGGUUAAUACCUGGGAUAAGUGGACGUUACUCGCAGAAUAAGCACCGGCUAACUCUGUGCCAGCAGCCGCGGUAAUACAGAGGGUGCGAGCGUUAAUCGGAAUUACUGGGCGUAAAGCGCGCGUAGGCGGUUUGUUAAGUCGGAUGUGAAAUCCCCGGGCUCAACCUGGGAAUUGCAUUCGAUACUGGCAAGCUAGAGUAUGGGAGAGGAAGGUAGAAUUCCAGGUGUAGCGGUGAAAUGCGUAGAGAUCUGGAGGAAUACCGAUGGCGAAGGCAGCCUUCUGGCCUAAUACUGACGCUGAGGUGCGAAAGCAUGGGGAGCAAACAGGAUUAGAUACCCUGGUAGUCCAUGCCGUAAACGAUGUCAACUAGCCGUUGGGGGAUUUGAUCCUUUAGUGGCGCAGCUAACGCGAUAAGUUGACCGCCUGGGGAGUACGGUCGCAAGACUAAAACUCAAAUGAAUUGACGGGGGCCCGCACAAGCGGUGGAGCAUGUGGUUUAAUUCGAUGCAACGCGAAGAACCUUACCUGGUCUUGACAUAGUGAGAAUCUUUCAGAGAUGAGAGAGUGCCUUCGGGAAUUCACAUACAGGUGCUGCAUGGCUGUCGUCAGCUCGUGUCGUGAGAUGUUGGGUUAAGUCCCGCAACGAGCGCAACCCUUUUCCUUAUUUGCCAGCACUUUUAGGUGGGAACCCUAAGGAUACUGCCAGUGACAAACUGGAGGAAGGCGGGGACGACGUCAAGUCAUCAUGGCCCUUACGACCAGGGCUACACACGUGCUACAAUGGUCGGUACAAAGGGUUGCUACACAGCGAUGUGAUGCUAAUCUCAAAAAGCCGAUCGUAGUCCGGAUUGGAGUCUGCAACUCGACUCCAUGAAGUCGGAAUCGCUAGUAAUCGCGGAUCAGAAUGCCGCGGUGAAUACGUUCCCGGGCCU